CACGUAGGGUGCGAGCGUUGUCCGGAAUUAUUGGGCGUAAAGAGCUCGUAGGCGGUGUGUCGCGUCGGCGUCGAAACCUGACAGCUUAACUGUGGGCUUGCGGUCGAUACGGGCAUCACUGGAGUUCGGCAGGGGAGACUGGAAUUCCUGGUGUAGCGGUGAAAUGCGCAGAUAUCAGGAAGAACACCCGUGGCGAAGGCGGCUCGCUGGGACGUUACUGACACUGAGGCGCGAAAGCGUGGGGAGCGAACAGG
rnacentral:rRNA from 1 species